AGCCACAGCCAUAUCACCCCGCAUCCCAAGACCAGUUACUGACUGAAGAUAAGCAGGGCUGAGCCUGCUCAGUACCUGGAUGGGAGACCACAUGGGGACACUAGGUUGUGGUGAUUC
ensembl:rRNA 5S_rRNA 5S ribosomal RNA